rnacentral:rRNA from 1 species
AUUGAACGCUGGCGGCAUGCUUUACACAUGCAAGUCGAACGGCAGCGCGGGCUUCGGCCUGGCGGCGAGUGGCGAACGGGUGAGUAAUACAUGGGAGCGUGCCGAGUAGUGGGGGAUAGCUCGUCGAAAGCCGGAUUAAUACCGCAUACGAGCUGAGGGUGAAAGCGGGGGAUGUUCGGACAUCGCGCAAUUGUAGCGGCCGAUGGCAGAUUAGCUAGUGGGUGGGUUAAAGGCCUACCAAGGCGACGAUCUGUAGCUAGUCUGAUAGGACGACCAGCCACACUAGGACUGACCCACGGACCUGGCUCCUACGGGAGGCAGCAGUGGGGAAUUUUGGACAAUGGGCGAAAACCUGAUCCAGCAAUGCCGCGUGUGUGAUGAAGGCCUUCGGGUUGUAAAGCACUUUUGGCGGGAACGAAAAGGACUGUGCCAAUACCACGGUUCGAUGACGGUACCCGCAGAAUAAGCACCGGCUAACUACGUG